rnacentral:rRNA from 1 species
CCUACGGGCGGCAGCAGUGGGGAAUAUUGCACAAUGGGGGAAACCCUGAUGCAGCGACGCCGCGUGAGUGAAGAAGUAUUUCGGUAUGUAAAGCUCUAUCAGCAGGGAAGAAAAGUACGGUACCUGAUUAAGAAGCCACGGCUAACUACGUCACAGCAGCCGCGGUACUUCGGAGGAUGCGACCGUUAUCCGGAUUUAUGGGGUUUAAGGGGUGCGCAGGCGGGCUGUUAAGCCGGCGGUAAAAGUUCAGGGCUAACCCCUGUAGAGCCGUCGAAACUGGCAGUCUUGAGUGGGCGAGAAGUAUGCGGAAUGCGUGGUGUAGCGGUGAAAUGCAUAGAUAUCACGCAGAACGCCGAUUGCGAAGGCAGCAUACCGGCGCCCAACUGACGCUGAGGCACGAAAGCGUGGGGAUCGAACAGGAUUAGAUACCCUGGUAGUC